rnacentral:rRNA from 1 species
GCUCAGAACGAACGCUGGCGGCGUGCUUAACACAUGCAAGUCGAACGCGAAAGGGACUUCGGUCCUGAGUAAAGUGGCGCACGGGUGAGUAACGCGUAGAUAACCUGUCUUAUGUCUGGAAUAAUACGCCGAAAGGGGUACUAAUACCGGAUAUUUUUUGCAUUGCAUAAGCAGUGUAAGCAAAGGUGGCCUCUGACAUAAGCUACUGCAUAAAGAGGGGUCUGCGUACCAUUAGCUAGUAGGUGGGGUAAAGGCCUACCUAGGCUACGAUGGUUAGCGGGUCUGAGAGGAUGAUCCGCCACACUGGCACUGGAACACGGGCCAGACUCCUACGGGAGGCAGCAGUGAGGAAUAUUGCGCAAUGGGGGCAACCCUGACGCAGCGACGCCGCGUGAGUGAGGAAGGCCUUCGGGUCGUAAAGCUCUGUCAAAGGGAAAGAAGUGCAUGGUGGUUAAUACCUGCCAUGUUUGACGGUACCCUUAAAGGAAGCACCGGCUAACUCCGUGCCAGCAGCGGC